rnacentral:rRNA from 1 species
UACCCGCAGCACAAGUGGUGGUCAUUAUUAUUGGGCCUAAAGCGUCCGUAGCAGGCUUGUUAGAUGCCUGGGUAAAUCGAUGCGCUCAACGCAUCGAAUUCCGGGUAGACCGGCAAGCUCGAGACCGGGAGAGGCAUGGGCUACUCGAGGGGUAGGGGUAAAAUCCUGUAAUCCUUCGGGGAGGACCAGUGGCGAAGGCGCCAUGCUAGAACGGCUCUGACUGUGAGGGACGAAGCCCUGGGGCGCAAACCGG